CGGAGGGCAAGCGAGGAAGACCACUGGAUGAAGAAAAAGACUGUUGGUUGGACUGUCGUGACGCUAAAAGGACGCCAAGCAGUAGAAGAGACCAUGGAAUAGAAGACUGGGAACUUCAUAAAUCACUGUCUGAGGUCGGUGUUUGUGGACGGCCGGCUGACCCAGGGAGGUCAGGUUUAUCUCCCCCUGGGUCAGUGCGAGCAAAACAGCUGCUACGGAUCACUGUCUCACACAGAACAACGACGGGAGUAGGCGGAAGGAAUGCGGAGCUGCGAUAGAGACCGCUGUGCCAGGUGCCGUGAGACAAGCUGCAAGCAACUCCAAGUUAUGAGAACCGUGCCUUGUCGUACUUAGCAUGUUAUCUGUACCGCUCUGUACAAACGGCUGCGUGCAGUUAUUAAAUGGCUCGACUACUAGGAACCGGAUGGGUGUGUGGCCUCGUCCCUCGCCGCACCUCGGCUGAUUAUUGCUCUCCAGGGGAUCUCGGACUUGUGGUUUGACAACAGGUGUUCAUGUGUUAAUUGUCUCACAGGUAAUUGAGGAAUAUGUGCUAUCUGUGGAAAUAUAACGGACUCUGAAUCGUGUCAUCUUUGAAGCACUUACGAGACCACAGCCGUCUGUAGCCGCAAGAGCUCCGUAGCUGCUUGUGGUCGUGAGGCCGGAGAGCGGGGACCGAAGCGGAGCCCUGCUUGGUGCGUCACUGGGGACCGGGGUGCCUCCUCAGUACUGCCUCCUUACUGGAACAUGG
ensembl:lncRNA